GGCAGCUCGGCCCUUGUUGGCCCUGCUGGGGUGGCAGGGGACGGCAGUGCUUCCCAGGAGCAAAUCUGGGGGCUCCCCCUCUUCUUCUUGCUUUUCCAUCCAGAAGGUUAAUUUUACGGGAAUUCAUUGCAGUUCAGUGUAUGGGGCCAGCAGUGGAGAGGAAAGGAACAACUCCAUGGCAACCAGCUUAUAAACCUUCAGGCCCCCGGCGGCCUCCUGGGGACUCCUUGCCCUCUCGGGACCCUGAACAUGAACCAAGUCUCACACCUCCAACCCCUGGGAUGGAGACUCAGCCGGGAAAUGUGGGUUAAGUCAGGAAAUAGGAUGGACCCUCUUUCCUCCACUUCAAGAUACACUUCGUCUUGUCCUUCCCUGCAGUGAAGGUCAUCAUGUUCAGCUGGCUUAACUUCCUCCCCGUUGAUGCAAGAAUCAAACGAGAAAAUGCCACGUCCUGGUCCCUACGAGAGCAUCAGGGUGGUGCAAAUAGAAGCCAUUGCGAUCAGAGUGCAAAUGCCACAGGGAGGUGUUCCCUGGUGCCCCUGCCCUUUGCAAGGUGACAACCGCUCUGGGCUGAGAGUGUUGGCGGUAGGAGAGUCGGAAGCAGAAAUACUGAUAAGGAGCAACGAUCACGGGAUCAGCCCACGCCUCACCCCCUUCCCAGGAAGAGGGUCUGGAGUUUCUCGUUCUGGAAUUACCCAUGAUCUUCCAGCAAGAUGUUUGUCCUAUGGUUUUGAGCACCUGGCCCCCUGGUUUGAGAAGCCCUGCCUUCAAAUCACAUCAGGAUUGAGGGCCGCUGUCAUACUGCCUGUGUUGGAAUUGACUUUAAAAUACUUUGGUGUAGGGGAGCCUGGGUGGCCCAGUUGGUUAAGUGUCUGACUCUUAAUUUCAGCUGAAGUCACGAUCUCACAGUUCAUGGGUUCGGGCCCCGCGUCGGGCUCUGUGCUGACAGCUCCGAGCUUGGAGCCUGCUUUGGAUUCUGUGUCUCCCUCUCUCUCUGCCCCUCCCCCCCCACUCAUGCUCUGUCUCUCUGUCUCUCGAAAAUGAAUAAACUUUAAAAAUAAAACA
ensembl:lncRNA